rnacentral:rRNA from 1 species
UACGUAGGGGGCAAGCGUUGUCCGGAUUUAUUGGGCGUAAAGAGCGUGUAGGCGGCCAGGUAGGUCUGGUGUGAAAACUCGAGGCUCAACCUCGAGAGGUCAUCGGAAACCAUCUGGCUAGAGUCCGGAAGAGGAGAGUGGAAUUCCCGGUGUAGCGGUGAAAUGCGCAGAUAUCGGGAAGAACACCUAUGGCGAAGGCAGCUCUCUGGGCCGAUACUGACGCUGAGGAGCGAAAGCGUGGGGAGCGAACAGG